rnacentral:rRNA from 1 species
GAUGAACGCUGGCGGCGUGCCUAAUACAUGCAAGUCGAGCGAACGGACGAGAAGCUUGCUUCUCUGAUGUUAGCGGCGGACGGGUGAGUAACACGUGGAUAACCUACCUAUAAGACUGGGAUAAAUUCGGGAAACCGGAGCUAAUACCGGAUAAUAUUUUGAACCGCAUGGUUCAAAAGUGAAAGACGGUCUUGCUGUCACUUAUAGAUGGAUCCGCGCUGCAUUAGCUAGUUGGUAAGGUAACGGCUUACCAAGGCAACGAUGCAUAGCCGACCUGAGAGGGUGAUCGGCCACACUGGAACUGAGACACGGUCCAGACUCCUACGGGAGGCAGCAGUAGGGAAUCUUCCGCAAUGGGCGAAAGCCUGACGGAGCAACGCCGCGUGAGUGAUGAAGGUCUUCGGAUCGUAAAACUCUGUUAUUAGGGAAGAACAUAUGUGUAAGUAACUGUGCACAUCUUGACGGUACCGAAUCAGAAAGCCACGGCUAACUACGUG